rnacentral:misc_RNA from 1 species
GGCAAACAGCAGGUGAUUUCCCUAAACAAGUGGCUAACUCAAUCAAAUUUAUUGAAUCUAGCAUUUCGACGUUGCACCUUUCUCCUAGUUGUGUGAAUCCAAUAAAAAUUACUAGUCCUGUAAUGCAAUCAAAUGGUGGAGCAAUUACGAGUGGAUUCAAUCAUAAUGGUGAGACUAGUAAAAAGAAUUGGAGGCUUGGGCAGAAGGGAAAGCUUCAAACUAUGGGGGCUACUGAAACUUGCAAACAGGUUCUAAUGAGUAAUAGCAAUGCCAA